CCUCCCUGACAACAUCUUGGACUUCCAGUCUCCAGAUAAGGGAGAGAAUAGAUUUCUGCUGUUGAAGCCACCCAGUCUGUGUCUGCUCCUAGAGAGACAAAAAAGCAAAAAGCAGUGCUCCUGGCACCUGAGGCAGGACACCGUCAGCAGAAGGCAAAUCUCAGCUCAUGGGACACUGGGCCACGGGAUGCGAGGUGGGAGCAGACGGAGUACUGUAUGAAGUCAGCAGAUCACCGUUGACGCAGCUGGUUCCUUCUCCAGAAGCAAAAACAUCUUUAAGGUCACUGAAGAUAGCAAGAUUCUUCAAUGGACCCAUUUGAGGCCACAGAGAUGUAAUGAUAGUGGCAUCCAGAGACAGUUGCGUUCCUCCCACAGGGUAGAUUCAGGUGUCAGCUGAUGGCGAGAAGUGUUGAGGAAUACCGUGUCUCCGGCAUGCUCAUUUUCAGCACGCUCUUGUGAAUUCUGUGUUUUAAGUGAGAAUUUUGGUUGGGCCUUUUUGCUAUUUUCCAAAGAUAAUCUAAUUCUUUUUUUCUUUUUCUUGAGACAGAGUCUCUCUUGGUUGCCCAGGGUGGACUGCAGUGGCGCCAUCUUGGCCCACUGCAACCUCCAUCUCCUGGGUUCAAGUGAUUCUCCUGCCUCAGCCUCCCAAGUAGCUGGGAUGACAGGUGUGCGCCACCAUGCCCAACUAAUUUUUGUAUUUUUAUUACAGAUGGGGUUUUGCCAUGUUGACCAGGCUGGUCUCAAACUCCUGACCUCAGGUGAUCUGCCUGCUUUAGCCAAAAAUAACCCAAUUCUUUUAUAAUCAACAUGUCCCUCUAUUGCAACAGGCCCUCAACUCUGAAGUGAAUCCUACUGCUUAUGAAAAGAAGAAAGAGUAAAAUCACCUCACUUAAGUUCUAGGUAAUCUCUAGAAGCCAACCCAUAAAAAGGAUUUUUCUCUCCCAUCCAAGUUUCCCCUCUGGAAUUGAGGUGUUAUGUCAAAUAUGGUACUUCUGAAUGUCACGUGAACAACUAACUCCAGUUUAUUCAAGCUACCCUUUAAGACCAAUAAAUGUGCUUAUGGGACAAA